CUACGGGAGGCACCAGUGGGGAAUCUUAGACAAUGGGGGAAACCCUGAUCUAGCCAUGCCGCGUGAGCGACGACGGCCCUAGGGUUGUAAAGCUCUUUCAGCAGGGAAGAUAAUGACGGUACCUGCAGAAGAAGUCCCGGCUAACUCCGUGCCAGCAGCCGCGGUAAUACGGAGGGGACUAGCGUUGUUCGGAAUUACUGGUCGUAAAGCGCGCGUAGGCGGAUUGUUAAGUCGGGGGUGAAAUCCCGGGGCUCAACCCCGGAACUGCCCUCGAUACUGGCAGUCUUGAGUUCGAGAGAGGUGAGUGGAAUUCCGAGUGUAGAGGUGAAAUUCGUAGAUAUUCGGAGGAACACCAGUGGCGAAGGCGGCUCACUGGCUCGAUACUGACGCUGAGGUGCGAAAGCGUGGGGAGCAAACAGGAUUAGAUACCCUCGUAGUC
rnacentral:rRNA from 1 species